UUGGUAUAAUUCUUAAUACUGGAGUGAGGAAAAAUGAAUUACAGGAAGUUUUCACAGAUGGUAAAAAAAAAUGCCUUCCUCGGGCCCCGCCCGGCCAGCCCAGGCGCAGCUCCGAGGCGGCGGACAAGGCGCCCGAGCACGGUCGGAGGGGCCGCGCAGCCCUGCCCUCAGGCGCACGGCGGCGGGCGGCGCCGCUCUAGCCCUCACGCUCCCGGGCGCUCCGCCGGGGCAGCCCCACUCCCUCCCCGCGCGCCCUAUGCCCUGCCUGCCAGGCCCCCAACCCAAGCUUGGCGGCCGCACUCACCGCCUCGCUCCGCGCCUGCGCCGCACGCCUCAGGGGCCCGCCGUGAGGGCGGGGAGGUGACUAGUGGUGAAACCAUGCAGCGGUCCUGGGAAGGAGAUCAUUUUGCCCGCCAGCGCCGGCGCCUUCAUUCCACUAGCGUUGUGCCCUGGCAGCGAGGAACUUUUGAUUUGCGCUGGCAGCUGGACAUCAGCUCUCUGUUGACUAAGACAACUCUACUGAAAACCAACUUAUAGAAAAGUCAAAAACCGGAAAGACAUAAUUAUUUAUGAUGAUCACUAAUCACAGUGAAACACCACCUCCUGGAGGCAGUGGAUGGGAACUCUUGGGGUGUCCCAAGUAGACCGUCUGCUUUGAGAAGUUUCCUUUUUUUGUGAAGUCAUUUUAUUUUCAGACAAGAUUUGAAUGAAGCUGUACAUGCUCUGGAUGCCUUACUUGCAUGUGUUCGCUCCCCACCUAGGUGAGGUAAGGCAGUUACUUAUCUUCCCUUACGGCCAGUGUUGGAGACUCAGAGAACAUAGGUAUGUAUUACGUCGUAGACUUUGCAGUGAAAUGAGCAUUAGACUGUUUAGGCUGCACAAUAAUAGAAUUAAUUCUUUUUUUAAUUCUGCUAAGCUCUCUUUCUUUCUGCUUUCCUCUAAAUGUACAGGAAAUCUAUUGGAUAAAAAUCACCUCUAAAGUUCUUAUUUCUUGUCAAAGACAGCA